UUACCCCUCGCUUCUCAACCCCUGGUUGAUGCCUGCCUGCCUUUGCAGUUGGCUAGAAGCGGAUCUGGCUUUCCCAACCGCCUUUGGUGGUUGGGUUAGCUGAAGCACAGAGGCUUGAGCAAGGACCCUUAUUGGGCUUCAACUGGAUAGGUAGAACUGGUCUUAGGACCAACUACACGAAGUUGUUGCUUGUGGUCUUUGUCUGGAGGCCAGCAGGAAACUUUUAUAC
rnacentral:misc_RNA from 1 species